GGCCGUCUCGGCCCGAUGCUAUCGCCUUCCCCCGCCUCCUUCGCUCCGUCUCCUUCCGGCCCGUUUGCGACAGACGUCAUCAACUCGGUCGCACUGCACCGGUGAAUUGGUGCUGCAGACGCGCUCCGGCUCCCCUAUGUCCAUUACGUGAGCCAUUGUUUCUAUCUGAUUGGCCCAAAACCCUUUUGUUUAUCUAUCUCUUGCCUUCUUCUCAGGUUCCUUUCUAGAGAGCCAAGGCGCCGUUCCAGGAUACUGGAUGGUAACCAUAUCUUCGAUUUCGCCAUUCUUGUUUCCUCUAAAACUUUAUCUUGGUUUGAUCAGGAAAAACGGAAUCUUUUAUAGCAAGUUUUAGUAAAUGUGAACCUGUUCACAAGGUGUUGGAUUUGAGAUAUUGAAGGAUGGAGCAGUUUUUGAUAUGUUUAGUUUCUUAGAUGCUCGACAUCUAUGAUAAAGCAAAUUGGGGACAAAAACACGUUGGUUUAUGUGCGCUCUAAGUUCGUGGAGGAAACGUCAAGAUUAAUUGCCUGUGUAUCGUCGAUUCUUCUGCAGCGUUCAGUGAAGAAAAUAUUAGUAAGAUAUGCUGAUAUGCCGAUAUUGUUGAUACAGAUAAUGCGAGAUGUGGACAACCCAUUUUGAUGCCGCUCGACGUCACCUUAUCACCAACCACAUCAUCUGCCACAUUACCACCAUAUCCAUGCUUGGAUAGUGUUUUCCUAAUUGCACGUGGAUAGGAUCCUUGUAGGGGUUCGUGAGGUUGGUCAUAAGGAUUGGAUUGACCUCAACGGUAAUCUCUUGUUUGAUUCUCAAGUAGGAAGAGCCGCAAAGCAGGACUUGGUUGGAUCAACCCUAUCCCUCUCAGUUGACAAUGACAAUCAGAAUCAUCAUUAACAACUGAAAAGUGGAGUCAGCCAGAAGUUUUGAUCCAAUCAAGGAGUUCAUUUUACUUCUUUGCUCGGUGUUGCAAGAGGCUCUCUGAUCUCCUCAGAUACCUGAUCAUAUCUUAGAAAAUAAUGUUGAAGUGGAGAUAGACGGGACCAUAGACAUUGUCUUGUUCAGCUAAUGCAUGUGGAGUAGCGAGUACCAAACAAGCCAAAUUUCCUCCGAAAUGAACUACCAAGUGACUGAAUACCCCCUUUUCCUCUCCUUUUUUGUUUUCUGUGUAUUUUUCACUGUCAGUUUUGGGCCAAAUAAUUUUGUUACACAAUAGAUCAUUUUCAUACUGUCUAAUAUGGGAUA